AGGCCAGGUUUCCACAGUCAUUCAUGCAGUGGUAUUUUGUACUGAGCUGUGUUCUGAUUCUCUCUUCUAGUAGCUUCUUAUCUCCCAGACAUUCUAUGUGGAAGCGUAGGUUUGAGACCUUCCUUAAGAGAGGAAAGCUUAUCUUUAGUUUAUAGAAAUAAAAACAAAACUGUAUUUCCAAGCAAAACUGACUUUAUGUAGGUGUCUCCAGAGAUGCAGCUUCAGCCGCCCUUGCAGAUGCCGCUGAGGAGCUGCUGGACCGUCUUGCGUCACACAGCAUGCCGCCCUCAGACGUGACCAUCCUGUACCACAUGAAAACGCUGCUGCUUCUGCAAGAUACUGAGAGAUUGAAGCAUGCUCUGGAAAUGUUCCCAGAACAUUGCACGAUGCCUCCUGACCAUGCCAGAGUAAUCUCAGCUUUCUUUAGUUACUGGAUCACACAUAUCCUUCC
rnacentral:sRNA from 1 species